ensembl:snRNA U6 U6 spliceosomal RNA
GUGCUCAAGGCAGCAGCAAAUAUGCUAAAGUUGGAAUGAUAAAAAGAACAUGAACAUGGCACCUAUGUAAGAAUGACAUGAACAUUCAUGAAGCUUUCCACAUUUUU